GCAAGUCGAACGCUCUCUUUGGAGAGAGUGGCAGACGGGUGAGUAACACGUGGGAAUCUACCUAGUUCUACGGGAUAGCCAUUGGAAACGAUGAUUAAUACCGUUUACGCCCUAAGGGGGAAAGAUUUAUCGGAAUUAGAUGAGCCCGCGUUAGAUUAGUUUGUUGGUGGGGUAAUGGCCUACCAAGACUACGAUCUAUAGCUGAUUUGAGAGGAUGAUC
rnacentral:rRNA from 1 species